GGAAGGGUGGCUCAGUGGUAGAGCACACCGGCAGUGAAUCCGGUGGAUUUCAAUGGCUUCGCGUGGUUCGACUCCCGCCCCUUCCG
rnacentral:tRNA from 1 species